ACCUGACUAUCGCAUCCCGCGGUAGACACUAGCCACGACAGGAGAACACUACAUG
ncrna:unclassified sequences Mu-gpT-DE RNA